AAAAAGAUUCUUUGGUCUCGGUUAUAAACUGAGACUAUUGAGAUGAAUAGAAAAAAAAAAGCCCAAAAAAACCCUAUUAUAUACAUAUUAUUCCAAACCCUACAUUUCAAACCCUCUCUCUUUUUCUUAUGCCUAACCCGAUCUCUCUCUCCCUUCUCUUCUUCAUGCGGCGACGCUCCUCCGGCCAUCCAUCUCCUUCGUUGGCUUCGCUCUCUAUCUCUCUUGAUAACAGAUUACGAUGAAGCUUUCAUUGGGUUUUUUUGGUUGGACUGUUUGUUUUGGUGGUCAAGGUGAGCGGCAGUGAUGGUGGUCGUGGUUUGGUAUUGGUCGAGUGGCGGUGAUGGGGUCGCGGUCUAGUUGUGGUCGAGCGACGGUGAUGGUGGUCGUGGUCUGUUUGUGUUCUGGGUUUCAGGGAUGGCUCUCGCGGUGGUGGUUGUGGUCGAGCGACGGUGAUGGUGAUGUGGUUGUGGUCGUGGUGGCUCCGGGAAUGAGAAAAACAAAACGAUUUAGGGUUUUUUUAAUUUAAUUAUUUUAUUUGUUUUAAAUAAAAGCUUAUGUAAUAUAUUUAUUUGUUGUAAUCUAUAUACUAUUUAUUAUUUAAAAUAUGUAUUUGUUGUAACAUAUAGGAUGUAAUAUGUAAUUUGUUAUGUAAUAAUAAAUGAAUUAUUAAAAUUUAA